GGUGAACGCUGGCGGCGUGCUUAAGACAUGCAAAUCGAACGGCAGUCUUCGGACUGUAGUGACGCACGGGUGAGUAACGCGUAACUGACCUACCCCAAAGUCGCGGAUAACGAUUCGAAAGAAUCGCUAAUACGUGAUGUGCUGUCAGAUUGUGUUCUGCCAGUAAAGAUUGAUUGCUUUGGAUGGGGUUGCGUUCCAUCAGCUAGUUGGUGGGGUAAAGGCCCACCAAGGCGACGACGGAUAGCCGGCCUGAGAGGGUGGCCGGCCACAGGGGCACUGAGACACGGGUCCCACUCCUACGGGAGGCGGCAGUUAGGAAUCUUCCACAAUGGGCGAAAGCCUGGUGGAGCGACGCCGCGUGAGGGAUGAAGGUCUUCGGAUCGUAAACCUCUGAAUCAGGGACGAAAGACACUUCGGUGGGAUGACGGUACCUGAGUAAUAGCACCGGCUAACUCCGUGCCAGCCGCCGCGGUAAUAC
rnacentral:rRNA from 1 species